rnacentral:rRNA from 1 species
UAGUGGAAGCGUCUGGAAAGGCGCGCGAUACAGGGUGACAGCCCCGUACACAAAAGCGCAUGUGCUGUGAGCUCGAUGAGUAGGGCGGGACACGUGGUAUCCUGUCUGAAUAUGGGGGGACCAUCCUCCAAGGCUAAAUACUCCUGACUGACCGAUAGUGAACCAGUACCGUGAGGGAAAGGCGAAAAGAACCCCGGCGAGGGGAGUGAAAAAGAACCUGAAACCGUGUACGUACAAGCAGUGGGAGCCCCACCACUAAGCCAGUGGUGAACUCCACAUACGCAUCCUUUGCUGAGGAUACGGU